rnacentral:rRNA from 1 species
GGGAAUAUUGGACAAUGGGCGCAAGCCUGAUCCAGCCAUGCCGCGUGAGUGAUGACGGCCCUAGGGUUGUAAAGCUCUUUCACCCACGACGAUAAUGACGGUAGUGGGAGAAGAAGCCCCGGCUAACUUCGUGCCAGCAGCCGCGGUAAUACGAAGGGGGCUAGCGUUGUUCGGAUUUACUGGGCGUAAAGCGCACGUAGGCGGAUCUUUAAGUCAGGGGUGAAAUGCCGG